rnacentral:misc_RNA from 1 species
AACUUUUGGCAAUGGACCUCUUGGCUCUCGCAUCGAUGAAGAACGCAGCGAAAUGCGAUACGUAAUGUGAAUUGCAGAAUGCAGUGAACCAUCGAAUCUUUGAACGCACCUUGCGCCCCUUGGCAUUCCGAGGGGCACACCCGUAUGAGUGUCGUGUAAUUCUCAGAACCUUUUCCUUUGCCGGAAAGGAUUUUGGACUUGGAGGCCUUUUGCUGGUUUCACCUCGAAGCGAGCUCCUCCCAAAUGGAUUAGUGGGGUCUGCUUUGCCGAUCCUUGACGUGAUAAGCUGCUUCUACGUCUCGGGUUUUGGCACUGUGCCUCUGCUUCUAACCGUCUCAUUGACAACGAUGGUGUUCCGGUCACCGCCGAUUCGUCGGUGGGAGGCUUGACCCACAAAACGACCUUGACCUCAAAUCGGGUGAGACUACCCGCUGAACUUAAGCAUAUCAAUAAGCGGAGGCU